rnacentral:tRNA from 2 species
UAGGCAGAAGCUUGCUGGUUUAAGCAUCUAACUGUUAAUUAGACAUAUUGUAGGAUCAAAGCCUUCCUGACUAG